AGUGAACGCUGGCGGUAGGCCUAACACAUGCAAGUCGAACGGCAGCACAGUAAGAGCUUGCUCUUACGGGUGGCGAGUGGCGGACGGGUGAGGAAUACAUCGGAAUCUACUUUUUCUUGGGGGAUAACGUAGGGAAACUUACGCUAAUACCGCAUACGACCUACGGGUGAAAGCAGGGGAUCUUCGGACCUUGCGCGAUUGAAUGAGCCGAUGUCGGAUUAGCUAGUUGGCGGGGUAAAGGCCCACCAAGGCGACGAUCCGUAGCUGGUCUGAGAGGAUGAUCAGCCACACUGGAACUGAGACACGGUCCAGACUCCUACGGGAGGCAGCAGUGGGGAAUAUUGGACAAUGGGCGCAAGCCUGAUCCAGCCAUACCGCGUGGGUGAAGAAGGCCUUCGGGUUGUAAAGCCCUUUUGUUGGGAAAGAAAAGCAGCAGGUUAAUACCCCGCUGUUCUGACGGUACCCAAAGAAGAAGCACCGGCUAACUUCGUG
rnacentral:rRNA from 1 species